AGAGUUUGAUCCUGGCUCAGAUUGAACGCUGGCGGCAGGCUUAACACAUGCAAGUCGAGCGGAGAGAAGUAGCUUGCUACUGAUCUUAGCGGCGGACGGGUGAGUAAUACUUAGGAAUCUGGCUAUUAGUGGGGGACAACAUUUCGAAAGGGAUGCUAAUACCGCAUACGUCCUACGGGAGAAAGCAGGGGAUCAGUAAUGACCUUGCGCUAAUAGAUGAGCCUAAGUCGGAUUAGCUAGUUGGUGGGGUAAAGGCCUACCAAGGCGACGAUCUGUAGCGGGUCUGAGAGGAUGAUCCGCCACACUGGGACUGAGACACGGCCCAGACUCCUACGGGAGGCAGCAGUGGGGAAUAUUGGACAAUGGGGGGAACCCUGAUCCAGCCAUGCCGCGUGUGUGAAGAAGGCCUUAUGGUUGUAAAGCACUUUAAGCGAGGAGGAGGGUACUGGUAUUAAUACUACCAGCUACUGGACGUUACUCGCAGAAUAAGCACCGGCUAACUCUGUGCCAGCAGCCGCGGUAAUACAGAGGGUGCGAGCGUUAAUCGGAUUUACUGGGCGUAAAGCGUGCGUAGGCGGCUAAUUGAGUCGGAUGUGAAAUCCCCGAGCUUAACUUGGGAAUUGCAUUCGAUACUGGUUAGCUAGAGUGUGGGAGAGGAUGGUAGAAUUCCAGGUGUAGCGGUGAAAUGCGUAGAGAUCUGGAGGAAUACCGAUGGCGAAGGCAGCCAUCUGGCCUAACACUGACGCUGAGGUACGAAAGCAUGGGGAGCAAACAGGAUUAGAUACCCUGGUAGUCCAUGCCGUAAACGAUGUCUACUAGCCGUUGGUCUCUUUGAGGGAUUAGUGGCGCAGCUAACGCGAAUAAGUGACCGCCUGGGGAGUUACGGC
rnacentral:rRNA from 1 species